ACGGCGCUCCCGGCCCAGCGAAGCCCGGGAGCGGGCGGCAGAGCUGGGAGGCACGAGCUGGGCCCUGCGGCUGCAGUCUCAGACAACUUGCACGUCUUGGACUUCACUGCACCCGGAGUUAGGAGGCCUAGGUCAAGUCAUAGCCCUGACCCUUGCUGGGAGUGACCUCGGACAAGUCACUGGUCCCUGAGCCCCGGAUCUCUGAAAAGUCACAGCGCUGGCCUCUGCUCCUCCAGCUCUUCGUUCCUCAUCAGAAACCUCCCAGGUCCUUAACUGGCUCUUGUUGGACAUAUGAAUGUUGGAGAU